GACGAACGCUGGCGGCGUGCUUAACACAUGCAAGUCGAACGGAAAGGCCUGUCCUUCCUUGUGUUGGACGGGUACUCGAGUGGCGAACGGGUGAGUAACACGUGAGUGAUCUGCCCCCAACUUGGGUAUAAGCCUGGGAAACUGGGUCUAAUUCCCGAUAGGACUGCAGGGUGGUGCCUGUGGUGGAAAACGAUUUUCUAGUGGUUGGGGAUGAGCUCGCGGCCUAUCAGCUUGUUGGUGGGGUAAUGGCCUACCAAGGCGGCGACGGGUAGCCGGCCUGAGAGGGUGGACGGCCACAUUGGGACUGAGAUACGGCCCAGACUCCUACUGGAGGCAGCAGUGGGGAAUAUUGCACAAUGGGCGGGAGCCUGAUGCAGCGACGCCGCGUGGGGGAUGACGGCCUUCGGGUUGUAAACUCCUUUCGACCGCGAGGAAGCCGCCUGGUUGGAAGGGUGGUGACGGUAGUGGUAGAAGAAGCACCGGCUAACUACGUG
rnacentral:rRNA from 1 species